CCAGUCCAUGUCUGCCUCAUAGUGUAUCCUUGCCUUCCUUCAUCUAGCUUUAUUGAGAGCAGCCUCCUAGCUCAGCCACAGUCUUAUGCUUUGGGUUUCUGGGGUUGGGCUAGGCUGGGCAGAGCUUUGGAAGAAAGAGGAGGUGGAGACUCAGCCUUUGCUUGCAUCCUCUGGGAGCUUCCAGACCACCAGGGGAGGAGUGUAAGCGCCCCCCUGAAGCCUUUGGCUUUGAGCAGGCUACCCGGGAAUACACUCUGCAGAGCUUUGGCGAGAUGGCUGACUCCUUUAAAGCCGAUUACUUCAACAUGCCUGUGCACGUAGAUGGUACCCACAGAACUUGUGGAGAAGGAGUUCUGGCGGCUAGUGAAUAGCAUUGAGGAGGAUGUGAC
rnacentral:lncRNA from 1 species